UGUUAAAAUUUUCAUCUAUUUCUACUAUUAAAAACUGGUGUGGUUGAUAAAAUAAGUAAACAAAUACAUGUGACGUGUCAUAUGUACCAUGCUGACGUAUAGAAACCAAUUUUUAACAAAAAGAAUGGAUGGAAUUUUUAAUA
rfam:Gossypium raimondii Chr08_contig_935, whole genome shotgun sequence.